rnacentral:lncRNA from 1 species
UGUUUCAUGGCUUGAUGUGGCUAGUAGAGACUGUUCCAAUCUACCAGACUUCAAGGGGGGAAACAAUCUCUUUGGCCUUUGGUUCCCUGAGGAGGGAACAAAGCUAUAAAAUGUGGUUCUCCUUCCUGGAGAGGCUGGUAGAAAAGAAAGCAGAGUUGGGCAUGGAGGAGAUGCCAUACAGAGAACCAUCUCAGUCUGGUGACCCCCACCCAGGUGAUGCUGAAGGUAUUGAGAGGCAGACACCCAGAUAGAACAAUAGAGUGGACCUAUCUGGGGGACCAACAUCCUAAGAGCUGAGAGGCUGACAGCGUUCCGGGCUGAAGGCCCCAAGCAGAUUCUCAUCCAUGUAUGUAUUUGCUCUUAAACAGGUGAGUCUUAUUAAUACACAGGUGCCCUACAUUUACUCAUAAGUCAAGAAUAUGCUAAGUAGGCAGCUGUUACCUGACUACCAUUGAUUACAAAUGAAAAGAUGUCCUCACAGAGGAGCCAUGGGGGCAGGGUAAACUAAAUGUUUCUCAACAUUCCCAUACUGCCCUCUGCUCCCCUCCCAGUGCCUUCCAUGAAUGGACUCCCAACAGAAGCCUGAAGGCAAGGGGGUCCAUGGGAUCAACCUCUUGGGGCAGAGGACAGGGGGCAAAAGACAGGUGGAGAAUGGAUCCCAGGAAAGGGUGUGGGGCACUUGAAGAACAAAUGGCUCAGAACACCACCAAUACAGAUACAGACAUCCAACAGCAUCUUUCCUCUGAUGGU